rnacentral:tRNA from 1 species
GCCGGAGUGGCGAAAUCGGUAGACGCAGUUGAUUCAAAAUCAACCGUAGAAAUACGUGCCGGUUCGAGUCCGGCCUUCCGGCACCA